ensembl:lncRNA
AGGGCAUAAGAAAGACUGAGCCCAGAAAAACAAAAAGGAGGCCUUCCAUGGAAAGAGGAAUUGUCCAGAAGCCAAGAUGAGUGUGAGUAGAGUCUGGAUGCUCUGAGAAUCGGAAAAAAAUCAGAUCUACUAAUUAAAGCUGCCAGGUGACCCAUGAAAUCAUGGCACUUGUUUGGGGGAGGUUCCCGGUCUAACUGAAGAAAAUAAUGUUUCCGUCAGAUUUUGGACUAGAGAAUACAUAGAAAAUUGUCCAGUUUGGUAUGAGAAAAGAAUGGCGCAUUUACACAAAGAUAAAUACUCAAUGGUCAAAAGAAAGUUGAGAUACCUACAGUUGCCUUGAUUCUUCACAACCUUCCUGACAGUAAAUCCUUCUUUAAGGUGGUCAAAAGAAACCCUGUUUCUUGCAAUCAAGAGAGUCUUCUAACUCCUUGCUGCUCAGCGUGGUCUACAGACAACAGCAUUGGCAUCAAGCACUGGAAGCUUGUUAGAAUGUAUAGUAUGUCAGGUUCCACCCCAGACCCACUGAAUCCGAAUGUGCACUUCAGCAAAGUGGCCAGUGGCAGGACAGGUAACAAGAGAAUGGAUGCCUGGAAGCCAUGAAUGGCAGGAGAGCAACUGAAAACAGCUGCCCUUCAGCCCCAUUGCCUGAUCCCGCCACUUGACUGUGGAAGAAUUAAGGGCAAGUUUCAGAAUCUCCCCGCACCUGGAUGCCAGGAAACCAAUCAUCGUUCAACCACUUUGUUGGGCCAUUAACAGAGCCUCGAACUCUAUCUUUGUCCAAAUGAAAGCACAAAGAAAAUAAUUUUUCAUCUGAAGAAUCACCUUAAAAUCCCCAAAUGGAAAGUAAGAGGAGCAGUAAACCUCUUAAACUCCAGUUUGGCGGCUCUAACACAGGGCAUUAAGGGCACUAUUCUUUCCUGUCCCCCAGGAGGGGAGUAACAGGGCCAAUAUCUAGAGGUGGGAAACUGGCCGCCAUAACCUGCACUCCCCACUGUGGUGAGGACAACCCCUCCACCGGGCCCCUUUACUUGGCAAGGCCUGUGCGGGCUCCUGUGCCUUCACUCACCUAUCCCACAGCAACUCUCUGAGCUGGGUAACGUUGACUCCGUGUUACAAACGAGGACUCAGAUGCAGAGGACAUCUUGCCCAAAGUCUAGGGUUCAAAUCCAGUUUGAGUUCUCAGAAGCAGAUGUCAAGACAGGAUUAUAAAUUCAAGACAUGUUAAGGAAACACACGUGAAACAUAAAGGAGAAGGAGAAAGCAGCAAGAUCCUUUGGACCAUGAUGCAGGUCUGGCACCUGUGAAGGAGACGGGGAAGGAGAGAGGGCUGGGUAGGAGGAGUCUCAGAUCUGAGCACCAUUUGAAGAAAGCUUCUGUCAGCCUGAUGGCAAGUCCUCAAGCCGGUGAGUGGUCAGAGGGUUCUGUAUGUCACAGGAAUGAGCUUGCAUUGGCACCUCCACUGUGCUCAGUCAUUGGAUGGCAGCUACAUGGGAAGCUUGGCCUUUGUGAAUCCAGAGGGUCAACAGCUGGAGUCAUCAGUCAGUUACGUUCCUCACAGAUGGGGAUCUGGCCAUUUCAAGGCCUCCAUGCAUUUUAUUUCCCUUGGAUGGGUUGUGGAUCUUAUCCUAUAAUAUUUGUUUGCACUUCCUACUCUGUAAAUUUCCUAAUCAUUUUUCUCCCAGAUUUCUAUUCGAUUGUCUUUUUCUUACAAAUUCAUAAGGGCUUUGUUUGUAUAUAAAAAUAAUUAACCUCAUGUUUUGUCAUAUAUAAGUAUUUUAUUUCAGUUUGCCAUGUAUCUGUAGAUUUUGUGUGUGGUUUACUUUUUCAUACAAAUAAUCUUAAUUUUGACAGAUGAAUCUAUUGUUUUUUUCUU